CUUGCCUUCUUUUCCCCCUCUCCCACCCCCUUCUCUCUGCUGCUCCCCGCGACCUGCGAUUUCCUGGGGGUCCGGAACUCUGGACCCAAGGCACCGGUCACCCCCUCAGGACGGCUCCUAGCUCAUCUGAGAAGCCCCUGUGCCCAUGUCCACCCAUAAGCAGAUGGCCUCCCCCCAACCAUGAGGAUUUUUUAAUGGGGUGAAAAUGCCAGUCCCCGAAGCCAGGGUUCUCGGACCCCCAGGGCCGAGCUGGGCGCGGGAGCCCCGCAGGGGCGGGGAGGCCGACCGAGCUUGAAGAAGUGUAGGAGAGAUCUACACAACUUAAGUGGGGCGUCCCCAUCCCAUCUUCCUGCGCACCCUCCUUUGCCCCCAACUCCAUCUCUGCGACACUUCCCCACCCCCACUCCCCCCAAAAAGUCGCUCCCGGGCUCUGUCUGCAGAGAGCCAGGGUGAGAGCGGGCAAGGCAAAAGAGCGACCUCGGUCGUGGGCAAGUAGCUUGUUUUUACGUCCCUCAAUAAAAUUUUUAUGAGGAUCA
rnacentral:lncRNA from 1 species